rnacentral:rRNA from 1 species
GAAAGGAGAGAAGGGCACAUGAAGGAUGCCUUGGCUCUCGGAGGCGAAGAAGGACGUGACAAGCUGCGAUAAGCCGCGGUCAGGAGCAAAUAUCCCAUGACCCGCGGAUUUCCGAAUGGGGCAACCCGGCACGGGCGACCGUGCCACCGCACAGAGUGCGGGGCGAACCCGGGGAACUGAAACAUCUCAAUACCCGGAGGAAAAGAAAACAAAAGUGAUUGCGCAAGUAGUGGCGAGCGAACGCGCAGGAGCCCAAACCGGCACCGUUGAGGCGGCGACCGGGGUUGUAGGACCGCCGAUAACGCCAGCGCACUGCAGUCAGGGGAAGCCCCUGGAAAGGGGCCCCAUAGGGGGUGAGAGGCCCGUACCCGAAGACAGCACGCGCGGCAAGGCGGCACCUGAGUAGCGCGGGACACGAGAAAUCCUGUGUGAAUCUGCGGGGACCAUCCCGCAAGGCUAAAUACUACCGAGAGACCGAUAGCGAACCAGUACCGUGAGGGAAAGGUGAAAAGAACCUCGAACAGAGGAGUGAAAAAGACCCUGAAAUCAUGUGCCUACAAGCGGUCGGAGCCACCGAGUGUGGUGACGGCGUGCCUUUUGCAUAAUGAACCUACGAGUCACCAGCGCCGGCGAGGCUAAGGGCAGAAGAGGCCCGGAGCCGAAGCGAAAGCGAGUCGGAACAAGGCGUCGAGUCGGCGCGGGUGGACGCGAAACCAAGUGAUCUACCCUUGGGCAGGUUGAAGGGAGGGUAACACCUCUUGGAGGACCGAACCGGUAAGCGUUGAAAAGCUUUCGGAUGACCUGAGGGUAGGAGUGAAAGGCCAAUCAAACUUGGAGAUAGCUCGUACUCCCCGAAAUGCAUUUAGGUGCAGCCUCGGGGUGAGUGCCGCGGAGGUAGAGCGACUGAUAGGAUGCGAGGGCUUCACCGCCUAUCAAGUCCUGACAAACUCCGAAUGCCGCGGCAUGAUACCCGGGAGUGAGGGCGCGGGUGCUAAGGUCCGCGUCCGAGAGAGGAACAACUCAGACCACCGGCCAAGGCCCCCAAAUACGGGCCGAGUUGAAGACAAUAACGAGGUGGGAUCGCAUAGACAGCUAGGAUGUUGGCUUGGAAGCAGCCAUUCAUUUGAAGAGUGCGUAACAGCUCACUAGUCGAGUGAUCCCGCAUGGAUAAUAAUCGGGCAUAAGUCCGUUGCCGAAGCCGUGGAAUGCAGCAUAAAGCUGCGUUGGUAGGGGAGCAUUCCGGCAGCCGCAGAAGGUGGGGCGUGAGCCCUGCUGGAGGUACCGGAAAAGCAAAUGUAGGUAUAAGUAACGACAAGGAGGGCGAGAAACCCUCCCGCCGUAAGACCAAGGGUUCCUGAUCAACGCUAAUCGGAUCAGGGUAAGUCGGGACCUAAGGAGAAGCCGCAAGGCGCAUCCGAUGGACAAACGGUAAAUAUUCCGUUACCCUUCAUGCGAGCGACGCGGGGACGGAGAAGUGACACGGCCGCGCACUGACGGAAUAGUGCGUUGAAGCGCGUAGGUAAUGUGGCGGCAGGCAAAUCCACCGCCCCAGCCGAAACGUGACAGUACCGAGAGCCCCCGGGCGAUCGGACAGAGCCGGUAAUCAUGCUCCCAAGAAAAUCCGCUAAGCAUAUCGCAUGCAGGCCCGUACCGCAAACCGACACAGGUGGUCGGGUAGAACAUACCGAGGCGCUCGAGAGAUUCACGGUUAAGGAACUAGGCAAAUUGACCCCGUAACUUCGGGAUAAGGGGUCCCCUCCUCCGGGAGGGGCGCAGAGAAUAGGUCCAGGCAACUGUUUAACAAAAACACAGGGCUGUGCGAAGUUUAAAGACGAAGUAUACAGCCUGACACCUGCCCGGUGCCGGAAGGUUAAGAGGAGGCGUCAUCGCGAGAGAAGCGCUGAAUUGAAGCCCCGGUAAACGGCGGCCGUAACUAUAACGGUCCUAAGGUAGCGAAAUUCCUUGUCGGGUAAGUUCCGACCUGCACGAAUGGUGUAAUGAUCUGGACACUGUCUCAACCGUGAGCUCGGUGAAAUUGUAGUAUCGGUGAAGAUGCCGAUUACCCGCAACGGGACGGAAAGACCCCGUGAACCUUUACUGCAGCUUAGCACUGGGACCGGGUGCGCGAUGUGUAGGAUAGUCAGGAGGCAGCGAGACGGCGGCGCCAGCCGUCGUGGAGCCGAUGUUGAAAUACUGACCUUUGCGCAUUUGGUUUCUAACCCGCGGGAGCGGGGACACUGCUUGGCGGGUAGUUUGACUGGGGUGGUCGCCUCCAAAAGAGUAACGGAGGCUUCUAAAGGU